GCCGCUAAAGCUCAGUGGCUAUAGCGUUGGUUUCGUAAACCAAAAGUCGCGAGAUCAAAUCUCUUUUGUGGCA